CCUACGGGAGGCAGCAGUGGGGGAUAUUGCACAAUGGGGGAAACCCUGAUGCAGCGACGCCGCGUGUGGGAAGACGGUCCUCUGGAUUGUAAACCACUGUCAUGUGGGAGCAAAUUAAAAAGAUAGUACCACAAGAGGAAGAGACGGCUAACUCUGUGCCAGCAGCCGCGGUAAUACAGAGGUCUCAAGCGUUGUUCGGAAUCACUGGGCGUAAAGCGUGCGUAGGCUGUUUCGUAAGUCGUGUGUGAAAGGCGCGGGCUCAACCCGCGGACGGCACAUGAUACUGCGAGACUAGAGUAAUGGAGGGGGAACCGGAAUUCUCGGUGUAGCAGUGAAAUGCGUAGAUAUCGAGAGGAACACUCGUGGCGAAGGCGGGUUCCUGGACAUUAACUGACGCUGAGGCACGAAGGCCAGGGGAGCGAAAGGGAUUAGAUACCCUUGUAGUC
rnacentral:rRNA from 1 species